UAGUGUGAAUAAUGCCUUUUGUCAUGCACCAUGAACCUUUUUUUCACAUGUCUAAAUAUUGAUUCAUAGAUUCAUUCAAGCCAACCUUCCAGUGAGUGAAAAUUUUUUGUAUUAUAAAUUUUGUUUGGAUGGAUUGUUAUGAAGGUUAAGAUUAAGGAAAUGACGUAGGUGAACGUGACCACCCUUUAGCUUGCAGAGUGUAAUACAUUGCAUAUUCAUGUUUUUGUUUUUCCGUUAGGUUAAAUGAAGUGGAGGUUUUAUGGUUAUUUAUUGUCCAUUUGCUGUUUUCGAUAAUCAUUGUCAAGAAAUUGUAUCAUACCAUACUGUAUAAGUUGGCUCAAGCCUUUUGCAUCAGCCAGGUUACACUGUAGAGCAUUGACCAUUGUAUUUCAGUACAGUAUAUGUCAAUUGGAGGAUUAUUGUCAGGUUUUUAAUAAAAAUAUUAAAGGUCCUGUAAAGUAUUCUAAUCCUAUUAGCACUUACUCUUUCUUCUGAACAGGUUCAGCUAAAGUAACUUGAUUAAGCCAACCAUGUUAAGGGGUACAUGUUCUCAAAACAAAAAUCCUCUAACAUGUUCAAAUACUCAUCUUAUGAUUAAGAAUUCCAAAGCUAAUGUUUUUGGUACAGCAGUGGUCAGCACUCUUAGGACCAUUAUGCCUUAUGAUACUGUUUAUUGCGAACAAUACUUUUUGUUGUCAUUAGAAACCCUUGUAAUAUAUGGGUGGCAUUUGCACACUGAUAUUGUGAUUGUUAAGGUCGAGCUUCAGCACCGGAUAUAUUGAUGUUCUUUUUACAUAUUGAUUACCACUGUAGCUUUUAUAUCCCUGACAGUUUUUAACAGUGAAUUUGCAAUGGCUUGAACAGAAAAAAUUCAUGGGUAAGCAUUGCAUCAUAAUGUACUGAAUAUGAUAGAUUCUUUAUGGUUGAGUGCUACAGUACUGUUGUAGUGCACUGCCAAAGAUAUUUUAAUUUGAGGCAGAUAUGACUUUCUUGGUGAAGCUGUGGUUGAAAUUCAGUGAGGUUGGUGUGCUACUGAUGUCCUCGUCUGAUUUCCAGUAAGAUUUAGAAUUUACAUUAGACUUUUGUUGUAAUUUUUAGCAUUUUUGUCUAUCUUUUACUUAAGAUUUCUUUAUUUUAUUUUUAUUUUAAACACCUGUAUUACUGAAAACAGUUGCUGUUUUCUGGCACUUGGCUUAUACUGAAUCUUUUAUAUUUUUAUUUUAUUCUUCUCCUCAGCAGGUAGAUGAUAUAGCAAGUUUUGAAACUGUGGAAAGAUAUACUGCUGCUGUUUAUUUAUUAACUCAGGCAUUUUGACUUGCACACAGGCGGUCACUACUUGGAGAAUGAAUGGAAAACAAUGGUAUACAUGUGUAUAGUAGUGUACACAGCAGGGGAUUGGUUUAAGGCUUUUGGAAAUCCAGGCAGUUUUAAUUGUCAUUGGUCAUUUGCAAUUUUGGAUGUGUUUGCUGUAAGGUUUGUACUGAUUUGGUAAAUUGGGGAUUUCUGCUGGUGUGGCUCUCUCUGGUUUGCUGAUGUAAUGGUUCAUUCUGGUGUGGGCUUGGUUAUUUUUCCAAUUUCUUCCUCUCGUACUUUGAUGUUUGUUGCUGGUUAUAGCUGAUACCAAACAGUUAUGAAAGAAAUGUAAGUAUUGUAACCAACUGGUGCCCAAUACCAACAAGAGUGAGAGGAAUAUGAUGAAUAGUAACUACUCAUGCACUGGAAUGUGACACCACAAUAGCCAUGCCAGUGGGAGAAAUGCCAGCAGUAACCUCAUAAUUUCCCCAAUCAAUAUAACCAAAGAAGUCCCAAUGCCUAAGACUGUGAGCUUUACAGCUAAAGUAUCAAUCAUUACAACUGACCCAUGGCUACUCGACCUGCUAUAACUUCUGCCAAUCUUACAGAGAAUACCCUGUAUAACCUGAAUGCAGUUUAGUGAACAGAAUGUAUUUUCUAUAACACGACCUACAAAGAGGGACUACUACUUCCCAAUACGUAAUUACUAUUAAUUACAGUGAACAUUCAUUCAUUAUGAAUAAAAGACAAAAGCACCUUGAUUUUGCUUAGCAAGCUUCCACAGACUAGAAUGCCUUGUGUGUGGGAAGUGAACAAAAACAACAAAUAAUUAAAUGGAAUAGAGUUGAAUGUGUAAGUAGCGGAGAACUGACUGAAGUAUACAAUGCACUGUCAUUAACUUAGCAAAUUCAAGGUCCUGCUGAGGUAUGAGUGAAUUAGCAAAUACAAAGGGGCUAUGUUUGUAUUCUAAAGCAAGUGAAAAAUGCUGAAUUCCAAACUACUAUAGGAAAUAGUUACAUGACAAUUUCCUUUAAUAGUAAUUUAGUCACAAGAAGUUAACUUUGUUAUACUUAAAAGAAGUUAACUUUCUGUUAUACUGUGCAUUAUUUUGUUUUGUUUCACUUUAUUGCUUUAGUUUUUAUUACAAGCCACACAAAAGAGAAAUUACUGUCAAGAAAAAGUGUGGACCUGAAUCCAAUGUCAAGAAGUGAAGUUCUUGACUGGCUGUGUACUCUUUUAGAAAGAACGAAAUUAUGACAACUUUUAUUACCUGAUUUGGAUCCCCCACUAAUAAUGUAAUGAUACAGAUAAAAGUAAAAGGAUGGAGGCAAUGCAGCUGUGGCCAGAGGGGAUUAUUGUAAAGAAACUUCAGUACCAAUACAUUCUGCAACAAAAGGCAUGCUGCAAGUGAUAUCCCUUAUCUGGACCUGAAAAUUCUGAACUUUGGAGUUAAGUACGUACAUUUGUUAUGCCUUAAUUACGUACUCUUGACAGGGAUUAAUUUGAAGUUUUUCAGUUCAAUGUUGAGGGGUAUGGCCUAGGAGAACUAGAAUUUUGUACUUUUAUUGAUAAACUUUAGGAAAAAUUUAAGGACCUAUUAAGUGGAAUUUUUGAAUUUUAUAGAUAUGCUACUUAUUCCCAUAGGGAGUUAAUGCUUCCAGCGUUUUAGAACUAUUUCAACUGACUUGUCUGUACAGUCAUGAUUAUGUUUUAUUCACAAACUUGCUAGGUGUGUAUUUCCAAGUCUGGACCUGGGCUGCGACUUACCUCAUGAAGAUCUGACCAACUCUGUUCUCUAAGGAUUCCAACGCCCUCCUGAUUACAGUAUUUGUGCAUGCAGUCCUCUCCAGGUUUCUGCUGAGGUCCUCUGACAUGAUGAGCAAUUCAAGUGCAAGACGAGAGGCCAUGAUGACGUCAUCGGACCAGGAAUGUCUAUCAGCUCCCAAUGAUCUGUGAAAGUUUUACAUAGAAUUAAAGGGAGUUUUUCUUUAAUACAACUUCUUGGUAUUACGUAAAGGUGAGCAAAAUAUUGUGCAGGAGGGGAUCAAAUGACGUCAAUAAACGUCAAUGAGUGUCGUAUCAGCUCCCAAUCAGCCUAUCCGAUGACGUCAGUUCCCUGAGAACUGAACAGAAUUUAAAAUUUAGGCAAGAAGCUAAGCUCUGUGACCUAUGUGUCAUAUUUAAGGGCCCAGAGCCUAUAAGUGUUGGAAAUAAAGGGAAUUUUGUCCCCAGUAUCUGAAAUCUUACCAUCGAUAAUGGUACUAAAGACUGCAUGGUUAGCACAUGGGCUAAUCCUUUUGCUGGCUUGACACACAUUUUCUAAUUGCGAGAUUCAUGUAACUGAUAUACAUCCAAAAUGGAUACUGUAAGCUACCCCUGUAAAUAUUAUGAACUGCAAUUAAGUGGCUUGAUUCAAAAUACUCUAAUUGCUCAUAAUAUUUAAGUGAUAUACAUACUACUUUAAAACAACAUGCUCCGCUGCUGUUCAGUCGAUCAGAUAAGGUAGGCAACUUUGAACCUGCUCACUGGUGGGUAACAACGAAGGGUUGUCAGGUCUCGUCUCUAUGUAACAUUCCAUAAAGGCCGCCACAUUACGGGCUGCUCUAGGAGCAAGAACCCGUGCUGGAAUAAAGCCAACUAAAUAAUUACCAACCAGCAGUCAAUACCGUUCAGUUAUACCUGCGCAGGCAAAUCUUCAUCACUAACAAUACAGUCUUGUUCCUGUGUUGGCCGUAGCAACCAUGACGUCAACAUACGAUGCUCUGGCUGUGACUGGCUUGCUGACAGCACAUACAAGAAAAAAAAUAAAAAAUAAACGUCAAGUAAGACGUCCAGUGAAAGAGUAGUUUAAAAACUCAUUCAGUACUCCCAUGUAAAUUGGUUAAGAGUUUAAAUUUGACCCCAUGGACUUUCAUAAUGUUAAUUGAAUAUUUUAUGAAUGAAGGAAGAGUGCCAUGGAAAGACAAUAAUUAAGUUCGUUAUCGUUUGCUGUCAUUUCAAAGUUGGCACGUAGACGUCUAAUGUUUAGUUUCUGUUUCAUUAAAAGGGGUUAAUACUGAUUUGUUUUCAUUUUGAAACGAACUUACGUGGGAUGUAAGCAAUGAAUAAACACAUAGUCCAAUAUUGUUUGAUUUUGUUUCAUCAGAAAGUAGAAUAUUAUUUUGCUCUCAUUUUAAAAAAUGAAUUACAUACAUGAUACAUAAUCGAAUAGACGCAUGUAGGCCUAUUCUUGUUUUACAUUAUUUUGUCCUAAUAAACAUUGAUUCUCAUUGAAAAACUGGCUUGCAUAUAUGGUUCAUAACCACGAAUAAACACACACAGGCUUAAUCUGUUACGAUAGCCUUUGGAUUUUACUUGCCAAACCAGUCUCAUUCAAAUAGAUUUCAAUGACAUCUACAAGACAUUCAGGAAUGAUGCUGUCACUUUCAGCCAUCAUUAAACAGAAUUAUUUUUCCUGUGGAAAAAGGGCUAAAUGAUAAAUAUAUAAUAUUCUGACAUCCGUAUCAAUGAUUAAACAAGUAAAAAACCAGUCAAAGUUUAUUUUUGCGCAAUAGAGUUUUCUGUCCGGUGGUGACCUCAGCCAAGGCCCAUUAAACUCUAAGCCACGGCCCAUCAAACUCAGCCACGGUCCGCUGGUGGCCUUUGUUGUUGGCACCUAUGACGCUGCCAGAAGUACGAUUAUGGCUAACUCUAGGCUAAUUUUAAUAUAAGGAACGGUUUGUAGCAGUGUUACCAACUUUACUAUAAUUUUAUGCUUUUAGCAUAAUUCUGCCUCAAAUUAAGUGCCAAGCAUUUUAUCUAGCAUAAUUUAUUUUUAGCAUCAUUCUAGCAUAAUCUUACUUGCAAACUCAGUUUUCAUAAUUUCAAAUUUUCCCGCUCA